CCCAGCCCACCCGUCUCAGACUUCUCGGUGAAACCUUCCCAGGAGGCUGCCAGUGGGGCUUCUGAUAUCUGGGGAAGC
rnacentral:miRNA from 1 species